GACCGGCUGAGGGGACUAGGGGAGCGCGGUGCUUCGGUGGCGGAGGUCACGGUGGCCUCCAUCCUAAAGGGCUGCGGGCGUCCCGGACGGCGGUCCCAAGCGCUGCUCACGCUGCUCUUAAGUGAGCCCUGGACGAGGCGCGGUGGGCCCUCAUAGUCCGCGCCGGCGCCCUCGCUCCACACCGCGGCGUCCGGCCCUGGGCUCCCGCCGAUGUCCGCGUGGGACUUUUAGGGGAUUUGUUUAUUUUUGUACGUUAACCACACUAGAAACGGCCCCAGAAUGGGCUGAAACGUGUGCUGCUGAAGCUGCCACCUAAACUCCCGAGAGAAGCGCCGUUUCUCCUCCAUGGCUUCUCGCCGACGCCCUCGCUGCGGCCUUCCGGGCCCCUCGGUUGAUAAAAGGACUAAAUAGUGACGGACAUUUUUAAGGCUACUUAAGAAAUGGCAAAAAUACAUUUAGAGACCAGAAGACGGGAAACCGUGACUGCCGCACCCUUCCCUGAAGCAGGCACUGCCCGUCGUCCAUCAAACG
rnacentral:lncRNA from 1 species